UACGGAGGGUGCAAGCGUCGUUCGGAUUUAUUGGGCGUAAAGCGCGUGUAGGCGGUUUCUUAAGUCGAAUGUGAAAGCCCCGGGCUCAACCCGGGAAGUGCAUUGGAUACUGGGAGACUUGAAUACGGGAGAGGGUAGUGGAAUUCCUAGUGUAGGAGUGAAAUCCGUAGAUAUUAGGAGGAACACCGGUGGCGAAGGCGGCUACCUGGACCGAUAUUGACGCUGAGACGCGAAAGCGUGGGGAGCAAAAGGG
rnacentral:rRNA from 1 species